UGGUCAGUUAGUCAUAGGAACAUGAAAUACAGUCAGAGAGCAGGAAGGGGGUAAUUGCAUUUAGAGCUUUAAGGAGCUGUCAGAGAGUCUGUAAUUGAAGGACUGACGAUACGCCGAUCGUAAUGUUCAGAACAAUAACAAACAGCCUCUACAGUGAAACAGCGCUGUGCCUCGACACCACCAACGCAACUGAAAACACCCGAAAUGGAGCUCCCACGCGCUGCUUCCACGCAGUUUAAGCCGAGCGAGCUUAAUUUAUCUCCGUUUCCCCAGCUUUGCCCGGCACCUUUCCAGCCCUGACUGCAGGCACCCAGCACCGACCCGACUGCAACGAGGACGCAGGCGGGUCCAGAGGAGCAACCCGCGUCCCCAGCUCGCAGCAGGGCCUGCAGCAGGGCCUGUGCCCAAACUGGUGUCGGAGGGAAUAGGUUGGGGUUGUCCCUCUCCACGGGGUGCGUUGAGAGCAGGAAUGGAGGUGCCGUCCUCCUGUCACGGGUUUAAAACCUAAAAAACCUCCGUGGGAGGAAGAGGUAAAUAAAAUCCCACAUGCUUUAGUUCGUGUCACUGCAGCUGCAUCUGAACAAUCCGUAACGUGUGCGCUGACACGGUUUCAUGUAAGGGACCUCUUAGGAGUAGUUCACAAAAUCUAGGAGGCUGUGGAUCAUGGUCUGAAAAGUGAUAUCAUCCAUAAAAAAUAUUUCUGUAAUUGAUUUAUAAAAACACCUAUUUGAAGGAAAUCUACAACUCUGAUCAUUAAAGGAAAUAUUGAAUAGAACAGAAAUGACAACAUACCCUUAUAGGAUGUCCCUGAAUAUGCUCUUCAGGUAAAGAUCCCUGCUCAUUUUCCUUUUCCUGAAGAACCUGGUAGAGGGCAAAUAAUUGAAAGCAGAAGAGUGACAAGACCUACUACUAUUAUGUUUUCACAACAUUACUGCCAUUUUAAAUAAAUAAAGGGCUCAGUUUAGUCAACGUCCAUGUAUCAGCACAAACUUUAAGGCAUACACGGCUUUUUCUUUCGUGACUGGGGAGA